rnacentral:rRNA from 1 species
UACAGAGGGUGCGAGCGUUAAUCGGAAUUACUGGGCGUAAAGCGUGCGUAGACGGUUAUUUAAGUCGGGUGUGAAAGCCCCGGGCUCAACCUGGGAAUUGCAUUCGAGACUGAAUAGCUAGGGUACGGUAGAGGGAAGUGGAAUUUCCGGUGUAGCGGUGAAAUGCGUAGAUAUCGGAAGGAACAUCAGUGGCGAAAGCGACUUCCUGGACCAGUACCGACGUUCAGGCACGAAAGCGUGGGGAGC